AGAGUUUGAUCAUGGCUCAGGACGAACGCUGGCGGCGUGCUUAAUACAUGCAAGUCGAGCGAGCAGAACCAGCAGAUUUACUUCGGUAAUGACGCUGGGGACGCGAGCGGCGGAUGGGUGAGUAACACGUGGGGAACCUGCCCCAUAGUCUGGGAUACCACUUGGAAACAGGUGCUAAUACCGGAUAAGAAAGCAGAUCGCAUGAUCAGCUUAUAAAAGGCGGCGUAAGCUGUCGCUAUGGGAUGGCCCCGCGGUGCAUUAGCUAGUUGGUAAGGUAACGGCUUACCAAGGCGAUGAUGCAUAGCCGAGUUGAGAGACUGAUCGGCCACAUUGGGACUGAGACACGGCCCAAACUCCUACGGGAGGCAGCAGUAGGGAAUCUUCCACAAUGGACGCAAGUCUGAUGGAGCAACGCCGCGUGAGUGAAGAAGGUUUUCGGAUCGUAAAGCUCUGUUGUUGGUGAAGAAGGAUAGAGGUAGUAACUGGCCUUUAUUUGACGGUAAUCAACCAGAAAGUCACGGCUAACUACGUGCCAGCAGCCGCGGUAAUACGUAGGUGGCAAGCGUUGUCCGGAUUUAUUGGGCGUAAAGCGAGCGCAGGCGGAAAAAUAAGUCUGAUGUGAAAGCCCUCGGCUUAACCGAGGAACUGCAUCGGAAACUGUUUUUCUUGAGUGCAGAAGAGGAGAGUGGAACUCCAUGUGUAGCGGUGGAAUGCGUAGAUAUAUGGAAGAACACCAGUGGCGAAGGCGGCUCUCUGGUCUGCAACUGACGCUGAGGCUCGAAAGCAUGGGUAGCGAACAGGAUUAGAUACCCUGGUAGUCCAUGCCGUAAACGAUGAGUGCUAAGUGUUGGGAGGUUUCCGCCUCUCAGUGCUGCAGCUAACGCAUUAAGCACUCCGCCUGGGGAGUACGACCGCAAGGUUGAAACUCAAAGGAAUUGACGG
rnacentral:rRNA from 1 species